rnacentral:rRNA from 1 species
AUUGAACGCUGGCGGCAGGCCUAACACAUGCAAGUCGAGCGGAUGAAGGGAGCUUGCUCCUGGAUUCAGCGGCGGACGGGUGAGUAAUGCCUAGGAAUCUGCCUGGUAGUGGGGGAUAACGUCCGGAAACGGGCGCUAAUACCCCAUACGUCCUGAGGGAGAAAGUGGGGGAUCUUCGGACCUCACGCUAUCAGAUGAGCCUAGGUCGGAUUAGCUAGUUGGUGGGGUAAAGGCCUACCAAGGCGACGAUCCGUAACUGGUCUGAGAGGAUGAUCAGUCACACUGGAACUGAGACACGGUCCAGACUCCUACGGGAGGCAGCAGUGGGGAAUAUUGGACAAUGGGCGAAAGCCUGAUCCAGCCAUGCCGAGUGUGUGAAGAAGGUCUUCGGAUUGUAAAGCACUUUAAGUUGGGAGGAAGGGCAGUAAGUUAAUACCUUGCUGUUUUGACGUUACCAACAGAAUAAGCACCGGCUAACUUCGUG